rnacentral:rRNA from 1 species
GAGUUUGAUCCUGGCUCAGGAUGAACGCUGGCGGCGUGCCUAAUACAUGCAAGUCGAGCGAACGGACGAGAAGCUUGCUUCUCUGAUGUUAGCGGCGGACGGGUGAGUAACACGUGGAUAACCUACCUAUAAGACUGGGAUAACUUCGGGAAACCGGAGCUAAUACCGGAUAAUAUUUUGAACCGCAUGGUUCAAAAGUGAAAGACGGUCUUGCUGUCACUUAUAGAUGGAUCCGCGCUGCAUUAGCUAGUUGGUAAGGUAACGGCUUACCAAGGCAACGAUGCAUAGCCGACCUGAGAGGGUGAUCGGCCACACUGGAACUGAGACACGGUCCAGACUCCUACGGGAGGCAGCAGUAGGGAAUCUUCCGCAAUGGGCGAAAGCCUGACGGAGCAACGCCGCGUGAGUGAUGAAGGUCUUCGGAUCGUAAAACUCUGUUAUUAGGGAAGAACAUAUGUGUAAGUAACUGUGCACAUCUGACGUC